rnacentral:lncRNA from 1 species
AUGUCCACUGUAGGACAUGGAAUAUGGCAAGAAAACUGAAAAUCAUGGAAAAUGAGAAACAUGCAGUUGACAAAUUGAAAAAUGACAAAAUCACUGAAAAACGUGAAAAAUGAGAAAUGCACACUGUAGGACCAGGAAUAUGGCAAGAAAACUGAAAAUCACGGAAAAUGAGAAAUACACACUUUAGGACGUGAAAUAUGGCGAGGAAAACUGAAAAACGUGAAAAAUGAGAAAUGCACACUGUAGGACCUGGAAUAUGGCAAGAAAACUGAAAAUCACGGAAAAUGAGAAAUACACACUUUAGGACAUGAAAUAUGGCAAGGAAAACUGAAAAAGGUGGAAAAUUUAGAAAUGUCCACUGUAGGACAUGGAAUAUGGCAAGAAAACUGAAAAUCAAGGAAAAUGAGAAACAUCCACUUGACAACUUGAAAAAUGACAAAAUCACUGAAAAAGUGAAAAAUGAGAAAUGCACACUGUAGGACUUGGAAUAUAGCAAGAAAACUGAAAAUCACGGAAAAUGAGAAAUACACACUUUAGGACAUGAAAUAUGGCAAGGAAAACAGAAAAAGGUGGAAAAUUUAGAAAUGUCCACUGUGGGACAUGGAAUAUGGCAAGAAAACUGAAAAUCAUGGAAAAUGAGAAACAUCCACUUGACAACUUGAAAAAUGACGAAAUCACUGAAAAACGUGAAAAAUGAGAAAUGCACACUGUAGGACCUGGAAUAUGGCGAGAAAACUGAAAAUCACUGAAAAUGAGAAAUACACACUUUAGGACAUGAAAUAUGGCGAGGAAAACUGAAAAAGGUGGAAAAUUUAGAAAUGUCCACUGUAGGACAUGGAAUAUGGCAAGAAAACUGAAAAUCAUGGAAAAUGAGAAACAUCCACUUGACGACUUGAAAAAAGACGAAAUCACUGAAAAACGUGAAAAAUGAGAAAUGCACACUGUAGGACCUGGAAUAUGGCAAGAAAACUGAAAAUCACGGAAAAUGAGAAAUACACACUUUAGGACGUGAAAUAUGGCGAGGAAAACUGAAAAACGUGAAAAAUGAGAAAUGCACACUGUAGGACCUGGAAUAUGGCAAGAAAACUGAAAAUCACGGAAAAUGAGAAAUACACACUUUAGGAUGUGAAAUAUGGCGAGGAAAACAGAAAAAGGUGG